UGCAGUACCUGGUGUCCAGUAAUACUGUAAAGGCAGAAUGACCACCCACCCAAGGGCCUGUUGAAAUUAAUUUCAUUUGCUUGGCCAGAGUGACAUCAACCACCAUAACAGAGGAUGACCAACUGAAUUCGCAGCUCUGCCUGAGGCUGAAAACCUGAAAAGACAUGAUGUCGCGGCAACAGCAGAGCAGAAAUAGGCGAAGAAUGAUUCGCCUUAGGAGACAACAGCGUAGCAGGAAACUGGCUGCUCGAAGACUCCCGAGGCAGAUGAGAGCAGGCAGACGCCAGUCCCAUUACCGGAGAGCCUCAGCUGCAGUCUAGCCUGGGUCACUUUCUGUAGUGAGAUAACUGCUGCAAACGAAGGAAAAGACCGUGCCAGAAACCAGGAUGAAGCACCAGGCUGCUGGAAGCAUGCGCUGCACUCAAUAAACCAUUUGAAU